UCCCUGUUGGCUCAGAUGGUUAAGAAUCUGCCUGCAAUGCAGGAAGACCUGGGUUCAAUCCCUGGGUGGGGAA
rnacentral:tRNA from 1 species